rnacentral:rRNA from 1 species
AUACGUAGGGAGCGAGCGUUGUCCGGAAUUACUGGGCGUAAAGGGCGCGUAGGCGGCGCUUCAAGUCGUCUGUCAAAUGGGAGGGCUUAACCCUUUUUCGCCGACGAAACUGGAGAGCUUGAGAAGCAGAGAGGCAAACAGAAUUCCUGGUGUAGCGGUGAAAUGCGUAGAUAUCAGGAAGAAUACCAGUGGCGAAGGCGGUUUGCUGGCUGCAUACUGACGCUGAAGCGCGAAAGCCAGGGGAGCAAACGGGAUUAGAUACCCCGGUAGUCCUGGCCGUAAACGAUGGACACUGGGUGUGGGGUAAGCAGUUACUCCGUGCCGCAGCUAACGCGCUAAGUGUCCCGCCUGGGGACUACGGUCGCAAGACUGAAACUCAAAGGAAUUGACGGGG